GCCCUGUUGAGUACCGAUUAGAGAGGGGAGAGAUUGGAGAGGGGGGGGAAAAAAUAAAUGAGAGAAAUUAGAGAAUGAGAAACUCUCGCAUACAAAUGAAAGCACACCAGGUAUUAAAUAACAAAUAAAUAGCCAGGCGGCGGCCGUGUAUAUGGCGUGUGACACAAAGUAUCCACAAUAUUUCAACUACUUUUGUUUAUGCGAUCGUAUGUAUGUCGUACAUCGACUUUUUUGUCGAACAACUUUUGAGUACCUUCAUACAUAUACUUAAGAGCGGACGGACGAGCUGGAACCUGCGUGUCGCCUUUAGAGAGUUUUCACUGUACAUGCAUAACUAUUUGAGCAAAAUGUUUUGCUACAAAAUCCGAUAAAUAAAAGCGAAACUUUUGUUUGUUUUCUUGGCAACUGUACAAUUUUCUGGCAUGUACUAAUCUGGUCUCGCUGAAAGCAAUACAAAAACAUUGGCACAAAUGCUCUGGAAUUAAACUUCAGACUCGAAAAUAUGUCAAAUUUGCCGUUUGCAAAACGAGAUAAUUCAAAUUGUGUAUGUGCUGUAGAGGAUCGCUUACGCAGAUAAGAUUAUAAUGAAUAUAUUGCUAAAUGCAAGAAACUUUCGCUGCGCAAUUUAUGAAAAACGGAGGCGUGUGCUGUGUGACUCAGAUAAUAGCAAAAAAAAUCAGUUUCAAUGGGGGAAUUACAUAAGAAUCCACAGCAAUGUUGAUAACAAAGUAUAAAGCAAAAGGGAAACAAUAUUGUAUGUGGUCGAAGGGAACUAAAUCGGUUCCGUUCAUUGAACUGCCGACCCAGAACAGAAUUCAACAAGUUGGUAGCACCGGGUCAACAAAAUUGUGACACGCAAUUCAAUCGAACAGUUAAGAAAUGCUUCCUUUUUUGGUUAAGAGUUAAAUUUACGAAAUUCAUAUUAAAAUACAUACAUACAUUUGUGUGCUAACGUAUGGCUAAACAUCAUGUAAGAUAUUUGUGCGGCACUUUUUGAAAAGUGCGCGGGACAUUCACAAUGGUGAUUAUGUAAACCUGGCGUUUUGCUUAGCAGGCCAUGUGUGUGUGGUAGUGUAUACAUAUUAUAUGCAUGUGUACACAUACAUACAUAUAUACAUAACAUUUGUGUGCUGUAGAACGGCGGAACAACUAACGUCAGGGAGAACGAGUGACGAAUUUGCUGAAGCAGCAGACGUUGGCAGACUGACUGACUGUGCACACAUACACAAAACAAACGCAUACAUACAGAAAGUGUACUAUGAGCAUAUGCGCGCACACACCCGCCGCCGCAGUCACAAUUAAUACAUACAUACAUCUGUACAUCUGUAUGUAUGUAUAUUCAAAUGAAAAAGCGAAGCAUGCGGUCGCCAACCACGGCGAUAAUAGCUAAUUCUGAAGAAAAUAAGUAUCUACAUGUGAAAUGCCCAGUUGCUGUUGCAAUUGUUGACUUGAAAACGCGCAGCGAUUUAUUUUCUGUAUGACAGCCUCGGGGUUUGGCGUCGGCGGCAAUGAACCUGGCGCGUAUGCGUGUCCUUGACACAAGGAUAACUGUUAUCAGCUGCUUAUACAUUUUUUCUUUGCUUAUGCCCUGAUUUUUCACACAAACAUUAUAAAUAUAUUUUUUGUGUUGCUUACCUGACACCUGCAGACAAUGUCCACUUCCGAUGCGAGCAUGUCCACCACCUUGCCUUUGCCCUCAUCGCCCCAUUGGGCGCCUAGGA